rnacentral:rRNA from 1 species
CCUACGGGUGGCAGCAGUGAGGAAUAUUGGUCAAUGGACGUAAGUCUGAACCAGCCAUGCCGCGUGCAGGAAGACGGCUCUAUGAGUUGUAAACUGCUUUUGUACGAGGGUAAACGCAGAUACGUGUAUCUGUUUGAAUGUACCGUAUGAAUAAGGAUCGGCUAACUCCGUGCCAGCAGCCGCGGUAAUACGGAGGAUUCAAGCGUUAUCCGGAUUUAUUGGGUUUAAAGGGUGCGUAGGCUGUCGGAUAAGUGAGAGGUGAAAUCUCGGGGCUCAACAUCGGAAUUGCCGCUGAUACUGUUCGGCUAGAGAGUGGUUGCGGUAGGCGGAAUGUGUGGUGUAGCGGUGAAAUGCUUAGAGAUCAUGCAGAACACCGAUUGCGAAGGCAGCUUACCAAGCUACUACUGACGUUGAGGCACGAAAGCGUGGGGAGCAAACAGGAUUAGAUACCCCAGUAGUC